UGCCCCUUCGCCUAACGGUAGGGCAACGGUCUUUGACACCGUGCGUCUUGGUUCGAUUCCAAGAGGGGCAG
rnacentral:tRNA from 1 species